UGCAGCCAACAAAUGAAACAUGAACGAAAUGACCGCUAACGCGUACGACCAAGACAAGUGGUUAAAAUUCGGGUACAUUAACCAAUCCCUGCGCCAGCAUUGUCCUCCGAAUAUUGAUACCGCUAAGAACAAUAGAGUGCCUGUAAACACAAGAAGGCAGCAGAGGAGAGAAGCCAUUCGUUAUUCAGUACAAAUUUCAACGGCCAACGCACUAACGUUAACGCAAUCAUAGCCUGUGCCGCGAACGAAAGUAACAGGGCAAUAGUAACGAGCGUUUGCACUACCAAUAGCCACCCUGGUAGUAGCCACUCACGAAUUACAUAAUAUUCCUGUGAGAAUAUGUGGUGGCAUCCGUCAAACUGUUUGUCAAAUUGAUAGUAUGGAUAUCGAAAUUCUUUGAAACAAUAUUCCCACAAUCCCAUAUGCUUGAAACUACUAAAUGUUUCUUGAUAGGAUUCGAUCCAAUAAGGACUGGAAGCAAGUUGGUUAAGUAGACGCUAAUUACGCAAGAUACUUGAUACAUAAAUCAUGUCUAUUUAAAAAAACGAUUACCUUGUAAAUGCCAUUACCAACAAUAGACCAGCGAUAUACGUGACUAGUCCACCAAAUACUACCGCAUCUGAAAUAACAUAAUCAACAGUUGAUAGAGGUUAGGGAUGUUUCUUUUUUAAGCAAAAUGACUAUGAAUUUAUUUAAUAUUGCUUACUCGAUGCGCGGUGAUAUUCCUGUUUGUCGACAGACAUUGUCGAUUCUUCGAGUUCGAUGACAGAAAAUAUAAGAACUACUAAAACUGUUUGUUUAUAAUUGCGAAAACACUAAGGCCCUUCUAAACUUGCCACACCUCUCGGCAUUGCCAUUGUUACCAACUGUAAAAGUUAAUUGACGUCGGUAAAGCGGCUGCCUGUACGUUUCUAUGUACGGUACCAGUACAAUCUCAUAAUAUAGCGGCUUUGGAAUAGUUUUCCUUCGAAUUCAAAAUCGGAUCGGAAUACACGGUCGAGGACAGUAAAAUGUAAAACAGAAGUAUGUCUGUACAUGUAAUUAUCAAGUAAUUUAUUGAAGUAAAAAUAUGAUACAAAAAAAUUUUGAAUUGCUCCAUUUCGAUUACAUGGAAAUAACAACGUUAUUAUAAUUCUGUACCUAAGGACGGAUCUCGUUGCAAAUUUAUUACAUAUAAAUUCACCGAUGGCAGUGAACGUUUACUUUAUAAAAUACUGCAGAAUUCAACAACUUAUGCUAUCUAUAAAAAAUGAGAAAAAAAUAGAAUACUUUCUAUCAAUUAUAAUCGAGACUAUUCUCAUUCUUUUAAAGCAUUUGGUGUACAAAGAAAAGCACUCUUCACUUUUUUUCACUGCACUAUUAACUUUUGGAAAUGUUAAUGUACAACAAGAAAAAAACAUUAACAAAACGAGUAUACUUCUUUGUAAAAUACGCUUCUACAUAUCCUGUAUGUAUAAAACAUCAUACAAAAAUACAAAUCUUAUGUCAUAUCAUA